AUGAGGAGUAUUGCUGGGCCAGAGAUAACAUGUGGGAACGUGCAAGGUCAGCCCGUGUUUAGAUCAGAAGCCCCAAUUCUCCCUUUGAUUCCAGGAUGCGCAGCAACUGGCAGGAAAGCCGCCAUCUCUGCUCCACUAGGCUCCUUCUUCUCCUAUACGUGGGAUGCCUCCAAACGCACUAUUAGGACUUUCCGGAGCCUUAGGCCUGUGUGCCAAAUCUCAUCAACCGAAUGCAGUAAGUUACAUUGGAAUGCUGGCCAAGGAGCACCUCUCCCCUCCUAGAGGAGACACUGGGAUGAGACUGGAGGGGUGUCUGUAUGUUCUUGGUUGGGGAGAGGCGAGCAAAGAGCAAAGCAAGGAAUAGACCUGAUCAAAGCCUCCCCGAUGAGUUGCUGUUUUAAAAGCUGGGUGCCCUCUCUCUUUUGACUAAGAAGCAGAAUCAAGUGGGCGUCAUCUGCUCUGAUGGAACCAGGGAAAGCCAGUGGGAAGGACACGAUUUGGCUCCAGAAGCCCACCCCAGCCAAAGGACAUCACAAAGCUGGCCUGAGCGUUGUCACCUGCUUGUCUGGUGGGCUGUCCCAAGGUGGCCUAGGCAGGCAGGGGGCUAACCUGCAGUCUUUAGUUUUGUCUCUGAACCCAGAUAAUGAGACUGAAAUGCAGGAGUUUCCAGAAUGUGACAGGUAAAGUGGCCCUGAAAGAUAGCUCCAUGAUCCUCUUAUUUUAAGGAUGAGAAAACAGAGGUUUGGGCAGAGAGGGACUCACCCAUCCUGCAAAGAGGUCGGGAGUGCGCAGGGAUUCGACCUUAGAUCUCCAGUCUCCAGGCAGCCAUCCCUCUCUGCUGCCCUUUCAUCCAAUCCUCCAUCCACUUGUCCAUUUGUUCACUCUCUGGUGCUUCCUGUCCCCACAGUCCAUUGUCUGGACAGAAGCCACGAUGAUCUUUUAUUUUUCUUGUUUUAUUGGAGUAUAGUUGAUUUAUAAUGUCAUGCUAAUUUCUGUGCUAGCAAAGUGAUAAGUUAUACACAUAUAUAGAUAAUAGAUUGCAUCUGCGAAUCCCAAAUUCCCAGUUCAUCCUCCCUCCACCCCACCUCCCCUUUGACAACAUCCAGAGUUUUCACACUACUUGAUCUGACCCCUGCCUGUGUCCCCAAACUUCUCUUCUGAACUUGAGCUGGCGCCCACACGUCUAGACACAGUGGCCUUCCUUCUGCUUCUUGACCAGAACAAACUCCUAUCUCAGGGCCUUUGCAUAUGCUCUUUCUCCAUUUGGAAGCCUCUUCCCUGG
rnacentral:lncRNA from 1 species